rnacentral:lncRNA from 1 species
CAUGGAAUAACCUUCUUAUGAGAAGGAAGAGGAACAAUAUCCAUGUAUGGUUAUCUUCAAAAGCCUUAAAUUCUUGUAGCAUGGCCUCUUGCCAGGCAGGACUAAAAGCAGAAUGCUUAUAAAAUUGAGGUUCAUGCAUGUAUAAGUCAACAGUAGAUACCUUGGAAUUAACCUAAAAGGGAGAAGAACUGGACAGAACAGAGGAACAAAUAUAGUUUGAAAUAUGAUAAGGAGGAUUUGAUUGUCUGGUACUUAUCCUAGGAGGAGAAAAUGUACAGGAAGAGAUAGGGGUGGAAGAAAGUAAAGUAGUAGGAACAGUUGUAGAAGCAGGGGAAGGAGAGACUGGAGAAGUGGAAAUAGGAAAAAUGAGG